CCUACGGGCGGCUGCAGUGAGGAAUAUUGGUCAAUGGACGAGAGUCUGAACCAGCCAAGUAGCGUGAAGGAUGACUGCCCUAUGGGUUGUAAACUUCUUUUAUAUGGGAAUAAAAUGUUCCACGUGUGGGAUUUUGUAUGUACCAUAUGAAUAAGGAUCGGCUAACUCCGUGCCAGCAGCCGCGGUAAUACGGAGGAUCCGAGCGUUAUCCGGAUUUAUUGGGUUUAAAGGGAGCGUAGGUGGAUUGUUAAGUCAGUUGUGAAAGUUUGCGGCUCAACCGUAAAAUUGCAGUUGAAACUGACAGUCUUGAGUACAGUAGAGGUGGGCGGAAUUCGUGGUGUAGCGGUGAAAUGCUUAGAUAUCACGAAGAACUCCGAUUGCGAAGGCAGCUCGCUGGACUGCGACUGACACUGAGGCUCGAAAGUGUGGGUAUCAAACAGGAUUAGAUACCCUGGUAGUC
rnacentral:rRNA from 1 species